rnacentral:rRNA from 1 species
AGGGCACCACCAGGAGUGGAGCCUGCGGCUUAAUUUGACUCAACACGGGAAAACUUACCCGGCCCGGACACUGGAAGGAUUGACAGAUUGAGAGCUCUUUCUUGAUUCAGUGGGUGGUGGUGCAUGGCCGUUCUUAGUUGGUGGAGCGAUUUGUCUGGUUAAUUCCGAUAACGAACGAGACUCUAGCCUACUAAAUAGACCAGUGGCUUCCUAAAACACGUCACUGGCCGCUUCUUAGAGGGACAGGCGGCGGUUCAGCCGCACGAAACAGAGCAAUAACAGGUCUGUGAUGCCCUUAGAUGUCCGGGGCCGCACGCGCGCUACACUGAAGUGAUCAGCGUGCUUGAGUGGACCUGGUCGGCCACGACUGGGUAACCCAAUGAACCUUCUUCGUGAUUGGGAUAGGGGAUUGUAAUUAUUCCCCUUGAACGAGGAAUUCCCAGUAAGCGCGAGUCAUAAGCUCGCGUUGAUUACGUCCCUGCCCUUUGUACACACCGCCCGUCGCUACUACCGAUUGAA